rnacentral:rRNA from 1 species
AUGCAGUCGAGCGGAUGAAGGGAGCUGGCUCCUGGAUUCAGCGGCGGACGGGUGAGUAAUGGCUAGGAAUCUGCCUGGUAGUGGGGGAUAACGUCCGGAAACGGGCGCUAAUACCGCAUACGUCCUGAGGGAGAAAGUGGGGGAUCUUCGGACCUCACGCUAUCAGAUGAGCCUAGGUCGGAUUAGCUAGUUGGUGGGGUAAAGGCCUACCAAGGCGACGAUCCGUAACUGGUCUGAGAGGAUGAUCAGUCACACUGGAACUGAGACACGGUCCAGACUCCUACGGGAGGCAGCAGUGGGGAAUAUUGGACAAUGGGCGAAAGCCUGAUCCAGCCAUGCCGCCGGUGUGAAGAAGGUCUUCGGAUUGUAAAGCACAUUAAGUUGGGAGGAAGGGCAGUAAGUUAAUACCUUGCUGUUCAGACGUUACCAACAGAAUAGGCACCGGCUAACCUCGUGCCAGCAGCCGCGGUAAUACGAAGGGUGCAAGCGUUAAUCGGAAUUACUGGGCGUAAAGCGCGCGUAGGUGGUUCAGCAAGUUGGAUGUGAAAUCGCCGGGCUCAACCUGGGAACUGCAUCCAAAACUACUGAGCUAGAGUACGGUAGAGGGUGGUGGAAUUUCCUGUGUAGCGGUGAAAUGCGUAGAUAUAGGAAGGAACACCAGUGGCUAAGGCGACCACCUGGACUGAUACUGACACUGAGGUGCGAAAGCGUGGCGAGCAAACAGGAUU